GGCUUUUUUAGCUCAGGCGGAGCUCGACCACUAACUAAAACAAUGCUUCAAUUUAUCGAUAAUUAUAAAGAUAAUUACGGGAUCGAGCCAAUCUGUCGAGUACUACCGAUUGCCCCA
rfam:Psychrobacter arcticus 273-4, complete genome.